rnacentral:rRNA from 1 species
GACGAACGCUGGCGGCGUGCCUAAUACAUGCAAGUCGAACGAGAGCGACCGGUGCUUGCACUGGUCAAUCUAGUGGCGAACGGGUGAGUAACACGUGGGUACCCUGCCCAUCAGAGGGGGAUAACAUUCGGAAACGGAUGCUAAAACCGCAUAGGUCUUCGAACCGCAUGGUUUGAAGGGGAAAAGAGGCGCAAGCUUCUGCUGAUGGAUGGACCCGCGGUGCAUUAGCUAGUUGGUGAGGUAACGGCUCACCAAGGCCGUGAUGCGUAGCCGACCGGCGGGGGGGAUCGGCCACAUGGGAGCUGAGACACGGCCCAGACUCCUACGGGAGGCAGCAGUAGGGAAUGGUCCGCAAUGGACGCAAGUCUGACGGAGCAACGCCGCGUGAGUGAAGAAGGUUUUCGGAUCGUAAAACUCUGUUGUUAGAGAAGAAUAGGUGCUAGAGUAACUGUUAGCGCCGUGACGGUAUCUAAUCAGAAAGCCACGGCUAACUACGUG